rnacentral:rRNA from 1 species
AACGAACGCUGGCGGUAUGCCUAACACAUGCCAGUCGAACGAGACCUUCGGGUCUAGUGGCGCACGGGUGCGUAACGCGUGGGAACCUGCCCUUAGGUUCGGAAUAACUCCCCGAAAGGGGUGCUAAUACCGGAUAAUGUCUUCGGACCAAAGAUUUAUCGCCUUUGGAUGGGCCCGCGUUGGAUUAGCUAGUUGGAAGGGUAAGAGCCUACCAAGGCGACGAUCCAUAGCUGGUCUGAGAGGAUGAUCAGCCACACUGGGACUGAGACACGGCCCAGACUCCUACGGGAGGCAGCAGUGGGGAAUAUUGGACAAUGGGCGAAAGCCUGAUCCAGCAAUGCCGCGUGAGUGAUGAAGGCCUUAGGGUUGUAAAGCUCUUUUACCCGGGAUGAUAAUGACAGUACCGGGAGAAUAAGCUCCGGCUAACUCCGUG